rnacentral:rRNA from 1 species
ACGGCGAGGGAAAUUUAGUACCGAAGUUCCUGAUUCCACACUGCCAAGAAAAGCCUCUAGCGAGGGAAAAGGUGCCCGUACCGCAAACCGACACAGGUAGGCGAGGAGAGAAUCCUAAGGUGAGCGAGAGAACUCUCGUUAAGGAACUCGGCAAAAUGACCCCGUAACUUCGGGAGAAGGGGUGCUCAUUAGGGUGCAUAGCCCUGAUGAGCCGCAGUGAAUAGGCCCAGGCGACUGUUUAGCAAAAACACAGGUCUCUGCGAAGCCGCAAGGCGAAGUAUAGGGGCUGACGCCUGCCCGGUGCUGGAAGGUUAAGAGGAGAGGUUAGCGCAAGCGAAGCUUUGAAUCGAAGCCCCAGUAAACGGCGGCCGUAACUAUAACGGUCCUAAGGUAGCGAAAUUCCUUGUCGGGUAAGUUCCGACCCGCACGAAAGGCGUAACGAUCUGGGCACUGUCUCAACGAGAGACUCGGUGAAAUUAUAGUACCUGUGAAGAUGCAGGUUACCCGCGACAGGACGGAAAGACCCCGUGGAGCUUUACUGUAGCCUGAUAUUGAAUUUUGGUACAGCUUGUACAGGAUAGGUAGGAGCCUGAGAAGCCGGAGCGCCAGCUUCGGUGGAGGCGUCGGUGGGAUACUACCCUGGCUGUAUUGAAAUUCUAACCCGCGCCCCUUAUCGGGGCGGGAGACAGUGUCAGGUGGGCAGUUUGACUGGGGCGGUCGCCUCCUAAAAAGUAACGGAGGCGCCCAAAGGUUCCCUCAGAAUGGUUGGAAAUCAUUCGCAGAGUGUAAAGGCACAAGGGAGCUUGACUGCGAGACCUACAAGUCGAGCAGGGACGAAAGUCGGGCUUAGUGAUCCGGUGGUUCCGCAUGGAAGGGCCAUCGCUCAACGGAUAAAAGCUACCCCGGGGAUAACAGGCUUAUCUCCCCCAAGAGUCCACAUCGACGGGGAGGUUUGGCACCUCGAUGUCGGCUCAUCGCAUCCUGGGGCUGUAGUCGGUCCCAAGGGUUGGGCUGUUCGCCCAUUAAAGCGGUACGCGAGCUGGGUUCAGAACGUCGUGAGACAGUUCGGUCCCUAUCCGUCGUGGGCGCAGGAAAUUUGAGAGGAGCUGUCCUUAGUACGAGAGGACCGGGAUGGACGCACCGCUGGUGUACCAGUUGUCUUGCCAAAGGCAUCGCUGGGUAGCUAUGUGCGGAAGGGAUAAGUGCUGAAAGCAUCUAAGCAUGAAGCCCCCCUCGAGAUGAGAUUUCCCAUAGCGUCAAGCUAGUAAGAUCCCUGAAAGAUGAUCAGGUUGAUAGGUCAGAGGUGGAAGCGUGGCGACA